GCGGGCCCAACACAUUGCAAGUUCGAGCGGUAGCACAGAGAGCUUGCUCUCGGGUGACGAGCGGCGGACGGGUGAGUAAUGUCUGGGAAACUGCCUGAUGGAGGGGGAUAACUACUGGAAACGGUAGCUAAUACCGCAUAAUGUCGCAAGACCAAAGUGGGGGACCUUCGGGCCUCAUGCCAUCAGAUGUGCCCAGAUGGGAUUAGCUAGUAGGUGGGGUAACGGCUCACCUAGGCGACGAUCCCUAGCUGGUCUGAGAGGAUGACCAGCCACACUGGAACUGAGACACGGUCCAGUCUCCUACGGGACGCAGCAGUGGGGAAUAUUGCACAAUGGGCGCAAGCCUGAUGAUGCAGCCAUGCCGCGUGUAUGAAGAAGGCCUUCGGGUUGUAAAGUACUUUCAGCGGGGAGGAAGGCGAUAAGGUUAAUAACCUUGUCGAUUGACGUUACCCGC
rnacentral:rRNA from 1 species